GUUAAAAUGUUUCUCAGACCAGUUUCAGAGAUUGUUGUUUUGCUUGCAGAGACUGAAUGAAUAUUCUUCAAUGCUAGAUGAUGUUUGAAUAUGUUGUAUUGAUGUUUAUUGUGAUAUAAUGUGUGUAUAUCAAGCGGGGAGUGUUAUGCCCUUGAGUCAAAAGUCAGCGGUUGGUGUGUGUGCUGAUUGAGCCACAUAAGCAGAGUGAUAAAUAAGCUCAGAGUGAGACAUCAUUUCCACAAGAGAUCUUUGUAUCCUAUGUGCGGAAAUGGAGCGAGGGAGCGUCCUGUUCACUAACCUAUCUUUGAUGUACCCUUUCGUUUAUGAUGGGAAAAAGUGCUCCGGCAGUUAUUAAAUAGGGACUAGUUCAUGUUCACGCUAAGAGUGCUCUACACGUUCGCACCUCGGAAAACGUUCGUCUUUUUACAUAAAAACAAGAAAGUCAAGCCUUGUGUGGAAGACCUCUUCUAUUUGUUCGCUAGCUGUCUAACCUCACAGGGUCACGUGUCGUGAGGGCAGCAUAACAAUAAAAUACCUAAGAUCAUAAAUGAACCUGAACAUAAGCUUCAGAGCCCUUGCUGCUCAUGCCUGGUUCAAGCCUUGCUCUGAAACUAUGCCUCCCCCGAGCCUGCCGGCAAAUGUGGCCACACUGCCUCCAGCGACCCCGCCACCGUCAUCCCCUCAAGGAUGGAACUCAUACCCGGGCCUCGCGAAUCUCCCUGGGAAUCUCCAAACCAGACACCCGGCAAGUCUUCAGGGUCCACCGCCUCACUUAUGCCCAUUGUUACGUUUCGGUGUUGUCAGUGUUUUGUUUUUUGCGUGACUGUCAUGUAUUUCCUGCUUUACUUUGAAAGUCUGUGUUAUCUCAGUGUGUUCAGUUUACGUUUCCUUGUCUCGUCAGGUCUAAUUUGCCCCAGCUGUGUUUCCCUCCUGUGGUCCAUUCCCUGAUUGCUCCUUCUAUGUAUUUAAGCCUUGUGUUUCAGUAUGUCAUGGUCGCGAUCUCCCCCUGUGUUGUAAAUAAAUAGUUUGUUGUAAAUAGCUGUGAAUGGAUUUGUCAAUACUUUCGUUUUGGGAUUUUGGUGGAGAGCCUUAGUGUUUUUUUUCUCGUGUGUCUUUUCCUUAUUUUUAUUUUCUUGCGUUGCACGCCGGUUGCCUAGGCCGGGGUGUAACACCAUCGAGCAGAUAUUUCACGGCUGUAAAUACUUGGAGAUAUGUGGAUGUUACCAGUCAUCAUCGUUCCCCCAGUCAAGUACAUUGAGAGAACACACCACUAGUAUUUAAUCAAUCAAUCAAUCAAUCAAUCAAUCAAUCAAAGCUUUAUUCGCCACGUGCAGGUUGCACACACACAACACAGACAUUACAUGGGGAUACAGGUCAGAGAUCGGUAGCGUUACAGAAAAACACUGAAAUAUACACUACAAUGGGAAAGUACAAGAGGAAAAAAAGAGAGCUCUGCUCAUGCUGGGCUCCUGGGAGGACAGCAUGAGAACAGAAAACGAAAAAACUCCUCUGCACAAAGAAGCACAUAAAUGUCCACAGCACAACAUUAUGGAGCACGCGACCAGCCACAGGGUCGGGUGGGGGGUGAAGAGUAAUCCGAAGCAAACACAGCAGCCAUCCUGCCCAGCGCUACCAUUCCAGCGCGGGCUCAGACUCGCCGUGUUCUCAGGAGGGAACAAGAUUCGAAGGCAUUUGGAAAGGGAGGGGGGAUGAGUGUGUGCAUAUCACUGUAUAUGUAUGUGUGUGUGUGUGUGUCCAUAGUUCAGCUGAGACAGUGUCCUUCGCCCUGCCAGGCUAGGUAAAAACAGUCUUCCAGCCAACCCAGGUGGCCUUGCAUGGAAUGAGAAGGUACAGACUAAACAGUCGUUAUCAGGGUGUUUUUGUUGGGCUCCAGCCUUGAGACCGCAGCUGGCGCCGAAUGUAUGGCACUUUUUCUAUUUGUUCCAGAAAUAAGCUCACGAAAUUUAAAAAGGGAGAUCACGUGAGAUUGUCUCAAGUUAGAGGUGUGUUUGAUAAACGCUAUGAACAGACUUUCACGGAUGAAAUAUUCACUAUAGACCAAUGCAUACCUAGGGAUCCUCCGGUUUGUAAAAUCAAAGAUUACGAUGGGGAACUAAUUAUCUGUGGUUUUUACGAGCAUGAGCCACAGAAAAUCAAUGUGGUUGUGGGUAAGCUGUAUCAUAUAGAGAGCAUUCUGACAAAACGUAAACAGAGGGGGCAAAUGUAUUUCCUGUCAAAUGGGGAAACUGGCCUGAAAAGUUUAAUAGCUGGAUUAAAGCCAGUGACCUUAAAAACCUAAAAUAAAAACCUUCCACCUCAUUUCAUGCUGGUGACAUGACUCUCAGGUCUCAAGGCUUUUACGUAACACUACCUUCAAACGCUAGCCUAAAUGUAUUUAAAAAUAACACGAGUAGCAGUUUCCGUGAGGAUCUCGCCCAGUAUCUCUAUCUCGAUGGGCCCUGGGAGGUGGCUGUCAUUAAAAUUUCCUAUCCCUAUACAUGGUUCAAUCUUCCAAAUGAUAUGGCAUACUUUGAAUGGAGGAAAAAGAGUGAUGCAGAGCAGAAGCCCGCUGAUGUUGAUAAGCAAAAAAUAUUUUUUUAUGGUUUUUAUGAGGAUCCUAACAUGCUGAGAUCACAGAUUGAUGAUGCCUGCCUUAGACGUAUUGAAUUUGAUAUUUUUCUCAAAUAUAACCCAAUUCAGAAAAAGUCUGAAUUUUCAUCUGGUGGAAUAUAUCAUCUCAGAGUUU
ensembl:lncRNA